GUAGGUGGCAAGCGUUGUCCGGAAUUAUUGGGCGUAAAGCGCGCGCAGGUGGUUCGUUUAAGUCUGAUGUGAAAGACCCCCGGGCUCAACCCGGGGAGGGUCAUUGGAAACUGGGGAACUUGAGUGCAGGAGAGGAAAGUGGAAUUCCACGUGUAGCGGUGAAAUGCGUAGAUAUGUGGAGGAACACCAGUGGCGAAGGCGACUUUCUGGCCUGUAACUGACACUGAGGCGCGAAAGCGUGGGGAGCAAACAGGAUUAGAUACCCUGGUAGUCCACGCCGUAAACGAUGAGUGCUAAGUGUUGGGGGGUUUCCGCCCCUCAGUGCUGCAGCUAACGCAUUAAGCACUCCGCCUGGGGAGUACGGCCGCAAAGACUG
rnacentral:rRNA from 1 species